rnacentral:rRNA from 1 species
AUGGCGGCGACGGGCGGCUCGGACGACGAGGUGCACUUCGACUUCUUCCCGCUCGUCCGCCAGUACAAGAGCGGCCGCGUGGAGCGGUUCUUUAACUUCCCCCCCAUCCCGGCCGGCGUCGACCCCGCCACGGGCGUCGUCUCCAAGGACGUCGUCAUCGACCCGGCCAACGGCCUCUGGGCGCGCGUCUUCCUGCCGCCCGGCGCCGCCGGCAAGCUCCCCGUCGUCGUCUACUUCCACGGCGGCGCCUACGUCAUCGGCUCGGCGUCCGACCCCAUGACGCACAACUACCUCAACGGCCUCGUCGCCGCGGCCAACGUCCUCGCGGUGGCGCUCGAGUACCGCCUCGCGCCGGAGCACCCGCUCCCCGCGGCCUACGACGACUCCUGGGAGGGGCUCAAGUGGGUGGCGUCCCACGCCACGGCUGGCGCGGGCGCGGCAGACGGCGCAGAGCCGUUGCUGGUCGACCACGGCGACUUCUCCCGCGUGUUCCUGGCGGGCGGCAGCGCCGGGGGCACCAUCGCGCACGUCAUGGCCGUGCGCGCCGGCGAGCAGGGUGCCCUCCCAGGCGGGGUCGGCAUCAAGGGGACUAUCGUGGUGCACCCCUACUUCAGCGGCGCGGCGGAGAUCGGCAAGGAGGCGACCACGGGGAAGGCGGAGAAGGCCAAGGCCGACGCCUUCUGGCGGUUCCUCUACCCGGGCUCGCCGGGGCUCGACGACCCGCUGUCCAACCCGUUCUCCGAGGCGGCCGGCGGCAGCGCGGCGCGCAUCGCCGGCGACCGCGUGCUCGUCUGCGUCGCCGAGAAGGACGGCCUCCGGGACAGGGGCGUCUGGUACUACGAGAGCCUCAAGGCGAGCGGCUACGGCGGCGAGGUGGAGCUGCUCGAGUCCAUGGACGAGGACCACGUCUUCUACUGCAUGAAGCCGCGGUCCGAGAAAGCGAUCGAGUUGCAGGAGCGCAUCCUCAGCUUCCUCCGCAAGUGA